GUGUGAUGACGCCACGAUGGGCGACAAUGAGAAUUUAGGCAAAAAGAGCUCCAAAUGCUGCUGUGUGUACGACAGGCCUCGUGAAUUUGGCGAGAGUUCUUCUGAGUCGAGUGAUGCGGGUGAUGUUGGUGAGAACUGCCACGGCGGUUGCAGGGGUCACAAGCAGAAGAACAAGAACGCAAAGAAUUUCAAAAAAAACUAUUUCAAACAAACCGAAGACGCUCAAGUUUCCUCUUCCAAUUCUAAACAGGGAAACAGUGAUCCUUCCUAAUCUAACAGUUUUGAUAAUCUUUGAGGUUGAACUUUUUUAUAUCAA